CCACCAUUAUCACCAUAUCCUUCUCCAGUGCCUGAACCUGAACCGUAUCCUUCUCCAGUUAAAAGUCUGACAGCGGAAGUCAUGCUCAGAAAGAGCAUGAUUGUCAAACUAAGGACCAAAAAAAUAGAUUUGGCCAUAUUUGAUUUCUCAAAUGAAUGAUGAUUUUAUUAUCUUGAAUGAAUGAUGAUAUGAGUUGAUAAGAACACUAUAU
rnacentral:lncRNA from 1 species